GUGCCAGCAGCCGCGGUAAUACGGAGGGUGCAAGCGUUGUCCGGAAUCAUUGGGUGUAAAGGGUGCGUAGGCGGAAGCCUAAGUCGGGGGUGAAAUCCUGCCGCUCAACGGCAGAAUGGCCUUCGAUACUGGGUUUCUUGAGUUCGGAAGAGGUUGGUGGAAUUCGUGGUGUAGCGGUGAAAUGCAUAGAUAUCACGAAGAACACCGGUGGCGAAGGCGGCCAACUGGUCCGAUACUGACGCUGAGGCGCGAAAGCGUGGGGAGCGAACAGGAUUAGAAACCCCAGUAGUCC
rnacentral:rRNA from 1 species